rnacentral:rRNA from 1 species
GACGAACUGUUCUAACGUUAUUCGGAAUUACUGGGCGUAAAGAGCUCGUAGGUGGUUUGUCACGUCGUCUGUGAAAUUCCGGGGCUUAACCUCGGGCGUGCAGGCGAUACGGGCAAUACUUGAGUGCUGUAGGGGAGACUGGAAUUCCUGGUGUAGCGGUGAAAUGCGCAGAUAUCAGGAGGAACACCAAUGGCGAAGGCAGGUCUCUGGGCAGUUACUGACGCUGAGGAGCGAAAGCAUGGGUAGCGAACAGGAUUAGAUA